rnacentral:rRNA from 1 species
UACGUAGGGUGCGAGCGUUAAUCGGAAUUACUGGGCGUAAAGUGUGCGCAGGCGGCGUCGCAAGUCGAGUGUGAAAUCCCCGAGCUUAACUUGGGAAUUGCGCUCGAAACUACGGUGCUGGAGUGUGGCAGAGGGGGGUGGAAUUCCACGUGUAGCGGUGAAAUGCGUAGAGAUGUGGAGGAACACCGAUGGCGAAGGCAGCCCCCUGGGCCAACACUGACGCUCAUGCACGAAAGCGUGGGGAGCAAACAGG